rnacentral:rRNA from 1 species
GACAGAGGGUGCGAACGUUGCUCGGAAUUACUGGGCGUAAAGCGCGUGCAGGCGGCCCUGCACGUCCGGUGUGAAAGCCCGGGGCUCAACCCCGGAGCGCGCUGGAAACGACGGGGCUGGAGGGCUGGAGAGGCGGGCGGAAGUUCCCGGUGUAGCGGUGAAAUGCGCAGAUAUCGGGAAGAACACCCGUGGCGAAGGCGGCUCUCUGGGGACGGUACUGACGCUGAGACGCGAAAGCGUGGGAGCGAACGAGG